CCCUCUACCCCAGUUUCUUACCAUUAGCUCAUGCUCUCUUUGCCCAAUCCUGCUUCUCCACAACUAUCCACUUGUUCAUCGAACAGCAUAGAAAUACCCAGGUUUCCCCAUUUCUUUGGGUCUUCAUUUCUGAAGGCUUUUGUGUCACAUAAAACUUGUAUUAGCAAGGGACCACUGAGACCCUCACUCCCUCCAGAGCCUACAGAUGAGAUCUGGGACAACCGACAAAAAGCUGGAGAAAGAAUUCUUGCCAAGAUGCAGAAUCUCACUAUGUUGCCCAGUGAGGUCUUGAACUCCUGACCUCAAACCAUCGUCACACCUGGGCAUCCCAAAGUGCUGGGAUUACAAGUGUGAACCACCAUGCCCUCAC
rnacentral:lncRNA from 1 species